GUAGGUGGCAAGCGUUGUCCGGAAUUAUUGGGCGUAAAGCGCGCGCAGGCGGUUCUUUAAGUCUGAUGUGAAAGCCCACGGCUCAACCGUGGAGGGUCAUUGGAAACUGGAGAACUUGAGUACAGAAGAGGAAAGCGGAAUUCCACGUGUAGCGGUGAAAUGCGUAGAGAUGUGGAGGAACACCAGUAGCGAAGGCGGCUUUCUGGUCUGUAACUGACGCUGAGGCGCGAAAGCGUGGGGAGCAAACAGGGAUUAGAUACCCUGGUAGUCCACGCCGUAAACGAUGAGUGCUAAGUGUUAGGGGGGUUUCCGCCCCCUUAGUGCUGCAGCUAACGCAUUAAGCACUCCGCCUGGGAAUACGGCCGCAAGGCUG
rnacentral:rRNA from 1 species